ACUUCCGCGCCUGGCCCCUGCAGAGGCGAGACGGGCGCCCCGCCCCGGCCAGGUCCGUGUACGUCCUGCCCGCCGGGGGCAGCGAGCAGCGGCCGGGGGCCGGCAGCAGGCUGAGCGCCGCCCCGCCCGGCGCUGCCACCACCACCACCUCCUACAGGCAGGAAUAUCGUCCAUGGACUGGAGCCAAACCAUCAAAGCCCAUAAAGACAAAGCAAGGCUUCAUUAUUCCAGAAGAUCAUUUUGUGCAAGAGACUAGCUACAGGGCAGAUUUUAAGAUUCCUGAAGCGAAGACCAAGUUUUCCCCCAACCCUUCUGCGGUUUUCCAGGCUCCUUCUCGUAUCCUCAACGUGUGAACUUGGAUCUGGUUCAUGUCCAGGCAGCUUAAAUGUGGGUUGUUAGUAAAAAUGUCCUGCUAUGCAACUUUCAUGCAGUGUGUUAAGAUCAAAGAGACAAUAUCAAAAGCAGCUACAGUGAGUAAUGAUAUAUACAUAAUAUCUGUGAAUACACAAAGCGCGAAGCACUUGAUUUGGAACUGGCAAAACAGACUGCAAGGGAUGACCUAGUUUUUGUAGAACCAGGCUCAUUACUAUGCCAGCUGGUAUCACAUUAGGAGAUUGACUUUGGGCAGCAAAGACAGUAUUGCAGAUAAUGCCCCUACACUUAGCUGCAUUUGGGGGGGGGGGGGGAGGGGGAAAUCUCAAAUGGAAAUAACUAAAACUAAAGCCAGCGCUAUCUAACAGACCUGUCUACAGUAGGUCAGUGAAAGAGCUGGUGAAUGACCCAAGCUGACUUUUGAACUUUUUUUUUUUUAAAGUUUGAAGUACACAAGCAAGCAUCUCACUAAUACACUGGAAUACUACAACGAACAGUGUAGCAUUCGUGGCUGGCAUUGAUUUCACUGGUGUUUUCGAAGUUUUUUGGCAUGAUAAUACUCUCUAAACAAAUCAGACAAAAAGUCACUGGGGCUUCACGGCUGAAGCUGAAUAUUUCAUAGGUGGAGUUUGAAUUUCUGAAGAACAAACAACAAUAGCAUGAGAGAGAAUCAAGAAAGUCCUGACAAAACAACGCCUCAACUUGGCUCUUGGCUGACAGCAAACUCAUUAGGUCAGCUCAGAUAACUACUGUGGAUUGUAUGGACCAGAAACUAAAAUGUUUAUGGAUGUAAUUUGUAAUGGUCAUGCUUAAGGUGUAUGUAUAUAGCGUACAUAGAUUUUGCAUAAUGGAAUCUGAAGAUUCUUUAAUAAAAGGAUAUGCUUAGACUUUUAUUAAAUGUUAACUAUUUGCUUAUGCAAGAUGAAAAAUAUAUUGCCUUGAAAUCUUGAAUUAUUGCCUGUAUAUUGGUAAUGCUAGUGCUAAAAAUAACCAGAGAUGAAUGUUACAUGGAUACUCUAUUUAAAAAAAAAAGUAGAAUGUAAUUCAUACCUUCAUUUUUAAAG